rnacentral:sRNA from 1 species
ACUUGGAAAAAAAGUUGUGUCUUGAGUCCUUAAGGUUAUUAUGGCAUGGAGCAGGUUUAAAUGAGGAAAAGGUGUUGGAGAGCCUACGACGACAUCCAAAUCUCAAAAAGCUGGUGGUAUCGAGUUUUAACGGAGCUAUGUUUCCGAAUUAGUUGUCUUCCAUCUCAAAUGUAGUCAAAUUCAUUUACAGUAUUGUAAUAAACUCUGAAAUCUACCUCCUAUGGAUCAUCUCCCCUCUCCAAAGCAUCUUUCACUUAAUACUUUGGAUGCUUUAGAACACAUGUCAGAAAUAGGAACAGACACGUUGACAACAACGACGUUCUUCCCAUCCUUAGAAUUUCUAGGGAUUUAUUCUUGUCCCAAUCUUAAGGGAUGGUGGAAGAAGAAGAAGGAAGAUGAGGAGGACGAUGAAGAAUCAACUAAAGCAUCAACUGUAGAGCUGCUACCUUACUUCCUUUGCCUUUCCACGUUAGAAAUUUGAGAAUGUCCUAAGCUAACCUCCCUCCCAUUGUUUCCUACUCUCAAUAACAAGUUGAGCUUGCGGUGUACCAAUGGAAGGCCAUUGCAACAAACAGCGAGGAGGAGAACUAAGGGGAAGAUAACAUUAGUUGCAACAAUAUCAUCAUCGACUACUCUUCCUCUCUCCAAUUUGAAGUCUUUGAUUUUAUAUGAGAUUGAAAAUGAAAAAUCUGUGUUAAAGGAGUUUCUACAAAAUUGCCGCUGCACUUGUCUUGAGUUCUUAAAGAUUGGGUGUUGUCCUGAAUUGACAUCGUUGCUGACAGAACUGCAUGCCCUCACCUCUCUACGAAGGUUGAAAAUUUUUAAUAUUCCCAAUCUGAUGGCUUUGCUCGACUGGAUACACAAUCUCACUUCCCUCGAAGGGUUCAAAAUUAGAUACUGCCCCAAAUUACCAUCAUUGCUAGAAGGGAUGAGUCGACUCACCAAUCUACGCCAUUUUCGAAUCAAAGGUUGUCCCCAUUUGAGUGAAAGAUGCCAAAGGGACACCGAUGUCGAUUGGGCUAAGAUUUCUCAAGUCCAAGAUAUUCGCAUUGAUAGAGAUUGAGAUCCCAAGGAAGUUAGCUACUGCUUUACCUUUUUUUGAUGAAAAUUGAAGUAAUUUUCUUGCCAACCUCUCCUCUCUUAUUAAUGCAUUAUUUUAGUCAUAUAUAUUUAUUUCAAUCUAUUGAGUCUUCAGCUUCACUUUCUUGACAGCAUGAAUUAGUGUCGCAUUUUAGUCUUAAGGUUUCCCUUACCCUUUCAGGAAGCAAGAUGGGAGAUUGAUUCACUUUUAUCUCUUUUUCAACUCAUCAUCUCUUGGAAUCUGGGCCAGAGAAAAAUGCAAAGCCUUUGAUUGUUUAUUGUGCUGGUGAUGUUCCUUCUUCUUAUCUCCCUGAUGUUGAAGAUAGUUCUUUUCUUUCAUAUGAAGAAUCCAAGAAAAAGAUGCAGGUGGAUUUUGAAAGGCAGGGUAAAGAACUAUUUAGUUUUUAGAGAACACUAUCAUUACCAUCUCCAAAUUUAACUCGAGAUAUGUUCAAUAAAAUAAGGUAAUUAAUGGAGCUUUUACUUUUAUUCCAAUUGGAAAAAUUUGAAACAUGUGUUUUAUUCCUAUUUGAAUCUUUUGGACAUGAAUGACUAAUUUAAGACUCCAUUUGAUUGAUGUUUUUGCUCUUUGUUUUCUUCUUUUUGCAAAACAAUGAAUAGAAAAGAACAAGCAAAAGAUAGAAAAUGAAUAGAAAAUAGAAAAACAAAUAGCAAAAAGCAAAAACAUCAACUAAACGGAACCUAAGUAUUUCCAAUGGCCUUUUAGAGCUUAACAGGUUGGCACCUAUCGAUUCUUAGGUUUAAAUUGUUUUACAGAUGUCUUAUAUAAUACAGUUGAUAGCCACAACAUGACAAGUCAAUAUUUGUUGUCUAGUCUUAAGUUUUAGUAUGUGUAAUAUUCUACAUAUUGCAUUUUUUACGAUUUAAGAAUAUGCUAAAGAUUAUGUAUUCAAGUUUUAUACUUGUAAGAAGCUUGAUAUGACAUUAAAGCAAUCAAUGUAGAAUGACUGAAUUGAGGUUCAUAAAGGUUCCUGACAAAUAAUGGUAAUAUGAGACGUGUGAUAUUUAGUAGUCAAUCCAGCUGGUAAGUAGAGGGGAAAUUAUGGAAAUUGCCUUUAGUGAAGAAAGUUUAUUGCAUGAGUGAAGAAAUUUGGUUUUAGAUACAUAGUUUAAUCCAAGAGCUUAUGAAGUGAAAGUAAUCAUGUAGUAGAUUUAUAAAACAUGGGACUAAGAAAGUAGAAUGACAAUAAAGGUAAGAACUACUAGUCUAUAUAAUUAUUUAGAAGCCUCACUCCAAGCAACACAUAAACCUUGAGCCUCAACAGAUUGUUACUUCAAGAAGGCAAGAAGAUUGGGUUAAAUCAAGCAGCAAGCCAGUCUUUGAACCACACACAUCUGGUGAUCUGGACUAAAGAGAACCUUUGUGUUGGUUUCUUGAGUUGAGCUGAAAGUAGUAGAUUGGCUCCCAUUUUAACGUUCUUUCUUAUUUGCUUCUUACUUAGCUUUCCCAAUGACAUCUUUUGUCAUUCAUAAGUUAGCAUCUUCUUCAUGCUUUUAUCUUUAGGAAACAUAUUCUUCUCCACUUUAAUAAGUUAGCAUCUUCUUCAUGCUUUUGGCUUUACAAAAAAUAUUUUCUCCACCUUAAUAAGUUAACAUCUUCUUCAUGUUUUUGGCUUUGGGAAACAUAUUUUCUCCACCUUGAGGAAAGAAUGGAUCCAUCUCCCUUGUCAUCAAGGAAAGUAUCAUUGGCUAUGUACUUCCUCUUCUCCAUCUAUAUAUAUUGGCAAUGGUACAUGAUCAUGAUUCACAAGUCAAGAGAUUUUCCUUCUUUCAAAAACUCUUACAAUUAUCUUU